rnacentral:antisense_RNA from 1 species
AAGGGUGGGACUAAGAGAGCUGCGCCCUGCGGUCCCCACCCAGCCUCUCCCCCGGGGUGUGGCCGCCGUCUGUUCGGUCACAGCCAGGCUGCGGCCUACGUUGAGGUACAGGGGCCCUUUGCUGGCCCCAGAUGUGGACAGUAUCCUCUCGAAUGCCCACCACUGGGAACCCUUAAGUCCCUCAAGAUCUUUCCUCAGCCUCGGCCAGUCCUAUCUCAGCAGUAAUGGCCAGUGUUAAGUAUAGUGCCUAGAAAAUUACAGACUAUUCCAGACCAGGAAGGAAAGCUGACUUCAUCUUCAGAUACUCAGGCUCCAGCCUGGAGACAUCUCAUCUCUCCUCUGUCACUCCUUCCCCAUUAUUAAAGUUUGUGGAUGUUCCUUAG